GGGUUUUUGAUGGAGGGUUUGAUCCUGGCUCAGGACGAACGCUGGCGGCGUGCUUAACACAUGCAAGUCGAACGGUAAGGCUCCAGCUUGCUGGGGUACACGAGUGGCGAACGGGUGAGUAACACGUGGGUGACCUGCCCUGCACUUCGGGAUAAGCCUGGGAAACUGGGUCUAAUACCGGAUAGGACCGCACCGUGAGGGUGUGGUGGAAAGUUUUUUCGGUGUGGGAUGGGCCCGCGGCCUAUCAGCUUGUUGGUGGGGUAAUGGCCUACCAAGGCGGCGACGGGUAGCCGGCCUGAGAGGGUGGACGGCCACAUUGGGACUGAGACACGGCCCAGACUCCUACGGGAGGCAGCAGUGGGGAAUAUUGCACAAUGGGCGGAAGCCUGAUGCAGCGACGCCGCGUGGGGGAUGACGGCCUUCGGGUUGUAAACUCCUUUCACCAUCGACGAAGGGUUUCUGACGGUAGAUGGAGAAGAAGCACCGGCUAACUACGUGCCAGCAGCCGCGGUAAUACGUAGGGUGCGAGCGUUGUCCGGAAUUACUGGGCGUAAAGAGCUCGUAGGUGGUUUGUCGCGUCGUCUGUGAAAUUCCGGGGCUUAACUCCGGGCGUGCAGGCGAUACGGGCAUAACUUGAGUACUGUAGGGGAGACUGGAAUUCCUGGUGUAGCGGUGAAAUGCGCAGAUAUCAGGAGGAACACCGGUGGCGAAGGCGGGUCUCUGGGCAGUAACUGACGCUGAGGAGCGAAAGCAUGGGGAGCGAACAGGAUUAGAUACCCUGGUAGUCCAUGCCGUAAACGGUGGGCGCUAGGUGUGGGUUUCCUUCCACGGGAUCCGUGCCGUAGCUAACGCAUUAAGCGCCCCGCCUGGGGAGUACGGCCGCAAGGCUAAAACUCAAAGGAAUUGACGGGGGCCCGCACAAGCGGCGGAGCAUGUGGAUUAAUUCGAUGCAACGCGAAGAACCUUACCUGGGCUUGACAUAUACAGGAUCGCGCCAGAGAUGGUGUUUCCCUUGUGGCUUGUAUACAGGUGGUGCAUGGUUGUCGUCAGCUCGUGUCGUGAGAUGUUGGGUUAAGUCCCGCAACGAGCGCAACCCUUGUCUUAUGUUGCCAGCACGUUGUGGUGGGGACUCGUAAGAAACUGCCGGGGUUAACUCGGAGGAAGGUGGGGAUGACGUCAAAUCAUCAUGCCCCUUAUGCCCAGGGCUUCACACAUGCUACAAUGGUCGGUACAGUGGGUUGCCAGUCCGUGAGGGCGAGCUAAUCCCGCAAAGCCGGUCUCAGUUCGGAUCGGGGUCUGCAACUCGACCCCGUGAAGUCGGAGUCGCUAGUAAUCGCAGAUCAGCAACGCUGCGGUGAAUACGUUCCCGGGCCUUGUACACACCGCCCGUCACGUCAUGAAAGUCGGUAACACCCGAAGCCAGUGGCCUAACACAUUUU
rnacentral:rRNA from 1 species